rnacentral:lncRNA from 1 species
GUGCGUGGCCGGGGGGCGCCGCGCAGAGCCCCGCUCUAUGAUGCCGGGCUUGAGGACGAGGCCGGGCGGCGCUGUGGCAACCCUCACCCUGCGGACACGCGCUCCCAACAUCCGGUCCGGCGGCCUCGCAGCUUAAGAAGUGGGGUCCCUGUGGCCGUGCGCCGACCCCCAACUCCAGCCGCUCCCAACGCCCCCAUCCGCUCUCGCUCCAAGAUGACUUUUCAUAUACAUGCUGUGAAUAAUCAGGGAAG